UGUGGACGCUGACGAAACAGAAUGUAGGAUCACUAUGUCUCGCUUUUUUGUAUUCACUCAAAGGCUCAACAAAAAUAAUUUUUAAAUGUAUUUUAGUAAAUAGUUUGUUAUAUUUUUUUUUAGCAAAAGCAGUGGGAAAAAACGAUCUUUCCCAUACAGGAAAGUUAGAUAUGGAAAAAUAGUAGUGAAUGGUCUCCCCCUCCCCCUAACACCUAUGUCAGAUUAUGGGGAGAAAAAAAAUCAAAAUGAUUUUACAAAUAAAGGAAAUUUAGGUAGAAAUGCAAGUACAAUUAGACAUUUUAACUUUUAUAUCCAUCCUGCAUCACCGUCAAUGGAUGCCCUACCUCAUGUAGUUGCUCGGGUAAGACUGUUGAUUGCAGAUACAGAUCUCUUACGACAGUUCCAUCUAAUAUACCGAGCUCAACAACUAGAUUGUAAGUAUUUAUUUUCAAAAGUGUUUCUUAAACUAAAAACAACAUACGAUACGUAUUUUAGUGCUCAUGAACAAUCUUUAUUUCGAUGUCCACAACAAACGUCAGAAAGUCUUUUCAAUCAAAUAUUGUUGUGAGUCAAAUCUGUUGAUACUAUCUAGAAUAUCCGUUGCAGUAUAACUGAAGGAUGUAUAUUCCCUCACUUUGCAAUUAUUAGUAACAUUUUGGACAUUUUAAUGUCAAUAUUUGCAGUAUUAACGUUAACAAAAAAGAAAAGAAAAGAACGACUGUAUUUUGACGCUUUGUUGCCUUUAUUUGUACGUGACAUUUUUGUCGUGAAAAUAACUGUUCACGCGCAAAAUAUUCUAAACUUCAAAAUAUGAUACCUGGACUAACAAUGUAUAAGAUUGACGAGGCUAGGCAAUAUGCCUCUUUACAUGCACUAUGAACGAAAAGGCAAACAAUUUCAUCGUUCAAUAAUGGAACCAGAAAAGC
rnacentral:lncRNA from 1 species